rnacentral:rRNA from 1 species
AUUGAACGCUGGCGGCAUGCCUUACACAUGCAAGUCGAACGGUAACAGGUCUUCGGAUGCUGACGAGUGGCGAACGGGUGAGUAAUACAUCGGAACGUGCCUAGUAGUGGGGGAUAACUACUCGAAAGAGUGGCUAAUACCGCAUGAGAUCUACGGAUGAAAGCAGGGGAUCGCAAGACCUUGUGCUACUAGAGCGGCCGAUGGCAGAUUAGGUAGUUGGUGGGAUAAAAGCUUACCAAGCCGACGAUCUGUAGCUGGUCUGAGAGGACGAUCAGACACACUGGGACUGAAAAACGUCCCAGACUCCUACGGGAGGCAGCAGUGGGGAAUUUUGGACAAUGGGCGAAAGCCUGAUCCAGCAAUGCCGCGUGCAGGAUGAAGGCCUUCGGGUUGUAAACUGCUUUUGUACGGAACGAAAAGCCCCGGGUUAAUACCCUGGGGUCAUGACGGUACCGUAAGAAUAAGCACCGGCUAACUACGUGCCAGCCGCCGCAGUAA